ACCCCAUCCUGCACCCUGAACUCCUCAUUUCUGGCCCCACCCCAGAACCUUCACCCCUAACCAGAGCCCUCAUCCCCUCCUGCACCCCAACCCCAAUUUUGUGAGCAUUCAUGCCCGCUUUACAAUUUGUAUUCCCAGAUGUGACCCUCGUGCAAAAAAGUUCGCCCACCCCUGAGCUAACAUAACCAGUUCUAAAAUAAACUGAUACACAGUAAUUUCCUCCCAAAAUAACAUUAUAUUAUUUAGAGCUUAUCUAUUUAAUAUAAAUCUGAGUAGACUUCAUAGUUUAAUAUAGUCACACACUAUUGACAACAUAACCACUAGCUAAAUGCACAGUGCUCAUUAAACAAAAACAAUUAGCUCUUCUGCUGGCCUAUUCACAUCGCAUUUACUGUUGAUAAAAAGUUUCUUUCUUUAUGAAGGAAGAUUUUGAAAACCUGUUUUUUUGUUUCGCUAGCUUUGCCCACAUUCUUCUUACAUUAGAAAAGCUUGAACAAAUUGAAAUGCCUAAUUCACAGUACAGUUUGUACUAUAAACAUGCUACAGUUGUCAACAUACACUACAGAAACACUCCAGGGUAAGAAAUAGAUGGAAUUGAAUGCACAUUAACCCAUGUUGCUAAGCUGCUUGCAGGAGGAAAGCUAUUUUUAAAAACAUCCAGCCAAGCCAUGGUAGGAUUCUAAAAGCCUAUAUUUGGAGUAAUUAUGUUUUAUCUUGGCUAAUUACAGUCGUCAUGUUAUAUAAUUAAAUAUAUUAUUCAGUGAUUUCCCUUUGUGUAAUAAAGAACUCCAGAUGGUGACCAUCAGCCAUUUCAUAGUGGUGUAGUGCAGCAGCCCAGCAAUUAAGAGCAUCUAGGGAAAUGUUUUUUUUAAAGUGCUGGCUCGUUUUAUGGUGUGGUUCAUUUAAGGAAAUAAAUAAACUACAGUAAUUCUUCACAUUUUUUAUUCCACAAAAGUUCUAUAAAAUUCUGGUUAUAUCCAAGCUCUUUUAUAAAAUAAUUUAAAAUGUUGGCAAAGCAAGUCUGUUAUCAAAACAAAUUCCUAUUCCAUAUGAUUCAUGAUAUAAAAUGCGGUUAUACUAAUAUUGUCUAUAGGGUUUAAAAUAUAUACUCUAUAAAAAGUUAAAUCUAUAUAAAAGUCAAUAUACUUUAGGACAUUUUUGUCUAAAUUACUUAAAUUCCAUUGGACAGAUUUAUAAUACAAUCAAGGAAACAAAAGUUAUUAUUACAAUGUCACCUUUCCCCAGUAAUAUGUACCUUAAAAUGGUUCCAAGCCUAGCCUAAUGUCAAAACUAAUUUAAUCACACAAAAGCAGAAUUAGCACAAUUGCAGAGAUUUGAUAUAAUCCAGGCACUCUCAGGAAAGAGAAAAGCUAAACUGUGGUUUGAAUUUUGAUUAGGGGAAAAUAUUCCUCAAAAAUGAGCUAAGAAGCCUCCAAAAUUUUCUUUUAUGAAAAAUUGUUUCAUUAUCUUUCCCUUUUGGUGCCCAGAAACCCCAUUGCACAGUGGGUGGAUUAGAAAUACGAACACAGAGCCAGAUUCUUAUACCCGUAUCAAGUUAGCUCCCAACCCUGCAAAUGUUUAUGCUUAUGAGUAACUUCAUGCAUGCAGGUAGUCACGUAGUUAAGCUGGGACUACUUGUGGAAUAAGGAUAUUCUAAAUCUAAAGACUGGAGAAUCUUCCCCAUGAUAGUGAUUCUCUUAUUUACAUCCAUGUAAAUCAGGAUUAAUUUCUCUGAAAUCAGUGGAUUUAUUCCAGUGUAAAGCCCAUGAGAGAUCAUCAUGAGAUCAUACUAUGGAGGUGCCGGUCCAGACAUAAGAUGGUAUUCUAAUAGGACAUGCAUCUCUUUUUUUCUCUACUUGUCUGUGGGUGGUUUCAGUGUGAAAUUUCAGUGUUAGUUUUUAUGUCCUUUGAAUUUUCUGUGUAGAUUUUUUUUGUUUGUUUUAGUGUAAUAAAUUUGGAAUAGGAAGUGUUUGAAAUUGGUUCUAGCUGAAAUUUGAUAGGGUUCUUCAGAUUUUAUGUUUAAAUUUACAAAAAAAAUUGGCUGAGAGGUGACUCUUAAGGUGAUCUGCAACCAUGGGUAGUUGUUGAACAGAAAUAUUUAGGAUUAAAGGUCAUAAAAUCUCCUGUAAACACAAAAAAUUGCUCUUUUUCAAUGUAUCCACCAUGUAUGAUUGUUUCAGUGGAACUGAAGCCACAGAUUAUCCUUAGUUAAGAUGGCUGGCACUUCCCUGCAGUCUGGUCAGGCAGAAGUUUAGGUAAAGAUGAUCACCAUCUCACAUUGUCCUCAAAGGAUUGAACCUAGCUUGCCCUCUCGGAGGAUGUUAGCUGUCAGGAGACGAACAGACAUACUGUGAGGACUAGGUGAACAUGAUGGGACAAAGAGGGCAGGAGAAUCUCAGUGAAAUUGAGGAAAACUGGUGCUUGCGUGUGUGUGCACGCAUACACAUAUGGACGCACCUGCACACUUGCAAGGGAAUGUGGAGAACAGGGAGGGAAACUGUAGGGAGGGAGAUUAAAGGAAAAUAGGGGGUUCAGAAGGGAGUCUGAGCAGGUUUUGUGGAGCAUGGGGCAAGGUGGUUGUUCAGCCUCCCUUUCAACCGAUGGCAUUUCUGUGUUGGAUGUGGAAGGGGUAAGAGUGAGUUAACAACUGGCACCAGUGGAUGCAGCAGGUAUUAGGGAGAGUGGUUCCUGAUUUUAAAGGAAAAACUGUUAGUUCAUGAGAGAUGGCUGUAGAUGGCAUGAUACUCUCUUGCAUGAAUCUUUUGUAAGACAUGAGAUUUGGCAGGAUUAUAACAAAUUAAUGGAUGAUUGCUCUAGUCUAGUCUGUUUUGUAUUCUAGCCUGAGUCAUCCAUUUAAGUAUUGGUGAGGUUUGUUAAGGUCAAACUUCCUUCUAGUAUUGAAUUGCAUUGUUCUCCAGCUAUUCUCUAUUCCCAUUUAAAAAGUAAUGGACAGUUCAUGAAUGGAUCCUUUUUCCAAAAAGACAUUUGAUACAGAAUUCCAAAUGCAUAUUUGGGCAUAUUUAGCAACCGGGUAGGGUUUCAUCCUCCUUUUAUGUGUUACAAUUGCAACUGGAAAAGUAUGAUGGUAAAGGUGGUAACUAUACCAGAGAAACAGAACUGAGUUUCUGUUUGCCUAGCAGAAAAAAUGAUUAAACAUAUUAUAGAGUUAGUUAUAGCCUUACUCCAUUACAAGCAAUUUAGAGUCCCUUCAGUGCACAGUCCUAGGGAGCACAACUGACCCUUGAUAUAAAUUAAUGUUUGCAAUCUUGGAAAAACAUGGCCAUUUAGAAUUACUACUCUAUUAAAAGGUGGUUUGUGAGCAGUGUGAUUUUUUCCCCCUUGGAGAAAGCUGGAAAUAGUUCAGGAAAGUAACCACAUUUUGUGAAGUGAAAUUGUAUACAAACAUUCAACAUAAGUAACAGAGUCUAAUUACAGAUUUGAAGUGGAGAGGUGGAUUAGAUAACACAGUCAUGAAAGUAAAUGUAGGGCAGAUGAAGGCAUCUAAAAGUGCCUAUUCUCACCGGAUGUUGAUGUUUAGCUUCAAAUUUUACAGUAUUUCUGAAGACCUAAAUCUCAGAAUAGAUUUCUAGCUGCACUUCCCUUCUCACGCUAUUUAGGCCAAGGAUCCCCCUAGAAGACUUCUAAAGAGGGCUUACCUGAAGAGGUCUCUGGGGUUAUGUCUACACUGCAAUUAAACACCAGUGGCUGGCCCGUGUUAGCUGACUCGGGCUUGCAGGGCUCAGACUGUAAAACUGAGGUGUAGACACUGGCUUGGGCUGGAGCUCAGGCCCCAUUGAGGGUCCCAGAGGUCAGGCUCCAGCCCAAGCCCUGAACAUCUAAACUGCAAUUUUACAGCCCCACAGCCCAAGCCUUGUGAGCCUGAGUCAGUUGACAUGGGCCAGCCGAGGGUGUUUAAUUGCAGUGUAGACAUAACCUGAUAUUGCAAGACCCACCUUCCUGUUAAUUACCACUAGCAACAACAUUUCAUUAUCCAGCCAGUAGGAGGUGUUCUUGUAACAGCAAAAAGCUGAAGGCCUUGUCAAACUUGCCAGCUGGAACAGAAAACUAUUCUGUCACUCAUGUAGCCCAAUGUCUUGUAUUUCAAAAAUAACAAGCACAAAAAAAUUGCACAGUCUAAUUGUUUUUAUCAGCAACACCAGCUUUAAUUCAGUGCAAGUAUUAUAGCCAUCUAAUUUUCAAACUUGCUCAGCUAUUUCCUGGAGCAGCUGCAAUUCAAACAUUUCUAAGUUAGUUAGAGGUUGUAUCCUAAUGUUGAGAGGAUUGACAAAUAGUUUUGGGGUGGUUUUUUCAGUGUGGGGUGCUGAAGGAAUGAAGGCAGAACUUAAUAUAUUUAACAUUGCAAUUGCCACUUAAAAAAUGAAUUAAUUAUUGACUGAAUCUUUACUUCCAGAAUUUGAAUAUUUUUAUCUUGACUCCUCUUGAUAUCUCUUAGUGUUAGACAUUGUAUGCCAGCAUAACACAUUUUAAUCUGUUUAUGGAACCACUUAGCUCUUUAGUAGAUUUUCCUUUAAAUAAUCCAGGGUGGUUUUGUUUGUUUCUCGAGAAUUUAACCCCAAGUCUUUUCUUUUUUUUAUCUUGGUAUUCACAAAAGUUCAUCAUUUAGGGUCUGGUCAUGCUCCCAUUGAAAUAAAUGACAAACUCCCACUAACUUUAAUAGGAAUUGGAUGGGGGUCCUUAAUUAGUAAGUUUUCUUCUUUUAUUAAUGAUGUAACUGAGAAAUACAAAUUGAAAAAGUUGCUUUUAGGAAUAAAGAAAUAUCACAUUA